rnacentral:rRNA from 1 species
GAUGAACGCUGGCGGCGUGCUUAACACAUGCAAGUCGAACGGAAAGGCUCCUGCUUGCAGGGGUUCUCGAGUGGCGAACGGGUGAGUAACACGUGGGUGAUCUGCCCUGCACUUUGGGAUAAGCCUGGGAAACUGGGUCUAAUACCGGAUAGGACGAUGGUUGUGAUGCUUUUGUGGAGAGUUUUUCGGUGUGGGCUGAGCUCGCGGCCUAUCAGCUUGUUGGUGGGGUAAUGGUUUACUAAGGCGUCGACGGGUAGCCGGCGUGAGAGGGUGUACGGCCACAUUGGGACUGAGAUACGGCCCAGACUCCUACGGGAGGCAGCAGUGGGGAAUAUUGCACAAUGGGCGCAAGCCUGAUGCAGCGACGCCGCGUGGGGGAUGACGGCCUUCGGGUUGUAAACUCCUUUCGCUAGGGACGAAGCGCAAGUGACGGUACCUGGAGAAGAAGCACCGGCUAACUACGUG